rnacentral:tRNA from 1 species
GGACCUGCUGGCCGAGGGCGGCCCGGUGCCCGCGGUGCGCCUGACCCGGAUCUUCCGGCAGGCCCA